AUCUCCAGUAAUAUGCAACGGUACACCUUGUUGGUAGUGUUCUUCUUAUAUCACCCAGGGGCAGAGCAGAUGAGAGUCCUUUGUUCAUCCUAGCUUGAUGCCUGGUAGCCAAAGCUGUCUUAUGCCUGGGACUCAUAA